GGUCUUGUUCUUUCCCGACACCAAUAAAUAUACCCUGCAACACCCAACUCCCAUUCCACACCACAAUAAACAACAACUUCACAAUUACAACAAACAACAACUUCACAAAGAAAAACAUAACAACAGCAUGAAAGAAAUGAAACUGGUAUGGUCCCCAGAGAGAGCAACUAACUCAUACAUCGACACAGUUCAAGCUGUAAGCACCACUCAGUGCCACCUUUCCAGCGAAUC
rnacentral:lncRNA from 1 species